GUCGCAAUGACUAAUCCAAUACAACAAGGAUUGAAAC
rfam:Candidatus Contendobacter odensis Run_B_J11, WGS project CBTK01000000 data, contig: COMPJ11_2695_Contig_46